rnacentral:misc_RNA from 1 species
CCCCGGCUGUUGCAUGGCCUGCGUGUGGAGAAGCGUGCGAGCGCAACUUUGAAAAGCGAAGAACACAACCCCUCGUGGUGGGGGACACAUCUCAGUGCGUGGCAUUCUCAGUGUCCAGUGCCCCACUCACACUGUCUGCGGAGAAGCCAGGCAAGCCCCCUACCGAUGCUGAGCGACUUCUGGUGGCAAAAGCCUCAUCCGCCUACGGGGCAGGGGGAGGUGAGUGCGAUGCUGUAUCGCUGCUGAUGCGCGCGGUCAGGUCCUGUAGAGGGGGGAGGGGGCGGUGCUGCGUCGGAGCGUCCUGCUACAGCGCACACGCUGGUGCCAUCUGUGUGUUGGGAACUGCGUGUGCGUGACUCGAGCCUAUCUCGCCUGGACCUCACCGCCCAUUGGUGGGGAGGCCGAGUGUCAUCCCGAGGAACAUAGCAGGCGGCCGCCUGCGGACCGGGUAUGGGGGUGGGCAGGCCUUGAGGCAGGGGCCGUGCUCCGGUGACUGAGCUGGCGCACACUGCUGUAGCACGUGUGUGUGUGCGUGUACUGCUGCCUCGCGCGACGCCGGUGAUGGGUGGUGGAGUGAUGAGGGAGAGAUGCAGCACAUAGUAGAUGGCCGAAUAGACACGUUGACAAGAAACCCAACGCAGGACGCGAGAAGCGUCAAAAGACGAAGCACCCGAGGCUGCGCAACACUGUGCAGCGACGGGACGUGUCUCAGGAGCGGGGUGGAAGCGCUGGGGCGGCCAAAAGGGGCCAUUGUGUACGUGCACUUGUACCUUCGACGCACACACACACACGCGCGAAAACGCAUCACGCGUUUGGGAGGUUUUGCUGGGAGCGCAUGCAUCUUCUCUCCCUCUUUUCGCCACCGUGUCGACAGCCCCUCCUUUCUCCGUCCCGCCUUUCCGUUUUGUCUCCACUUCCCUUGCUUCCAG